GGUUUUCUAUUCUCCUGAGUGGAACCAUCAGACUUUUCUUGAGGGAUUGGCCCUCUAGUGAAGAGCAUGGAGUGGACUGGGCCAGGGAAAGAUCCUCAGAUAAUCCUUACAUGUUGCGAUUUCAGGAUAUCCACAGUAGAUCAACUGAUGCUUCAGAACAGUGCCCAAAGGAACCAAGUGAAAUUACCAAAUUAGAAGUGAUAAGAGGUUGACUCUCUCCAGAAAUUUAUUGUAAUUAGCAAGAGGUAAUGGUGUCUAAAUAAGAUGAAAGAAGAUAUUUUAAAGAUGAUAAUAACAAAAACAGACAGAGAGAGCAGGCUCUUAGAGAAAUGGGAGAACUACCGCACUGACUCUGCACGUAGGAGGCAGGCAGGAGAGGAGCGCCCCAGCCAGAGCUCAACAUGCGCAAACAGGAAGUGUGUCCAAGGUUUUCUGGAGCUCACAGGAGCCAGGGACCGACAGGAAAGAAAAGCAGACAAGACAAACUAAAUCAGCAACCAUCCCUUUGGAUGCCAGCUGACCUCGGAUGGAGAUUUAGUGCUAGAUGUAAAAGGCUUUGUUUACAGACAAUUAAAAACCACAUAAAUUUAAAU
rnacentral:lncRNA from 1 species